GCCGAACGCUGGCGGCGUGCUUAACACAUGCAAGUCACGAGGGCCCGCAAGGGCAACCGGCGAACGGGUGCGUAACACGUGAGCAACCUGCCGAUUCGUGGGGGAUAGCCGGCCCAACGGCCGGGUAAUACCGCAUACGCUCACUGGGGGGAGUCCCCUGGUGAGGAAACCUCCGGGGCAAAUCGAGGGGCUUGCGUCCUAUCAGCUAGUUGGCGGGGUAACGGCCCACCAAGGCGACGACGGGUAGCUGGUCUGAGAGGAUGGCCAGCCACAUUGUGACUGAGAAACGGCCCAGACUCCUACGGGAGGCAGCAGUGGGGAAUCUUGCGCAAUGGCCGAAAGGCUGACGCAGCGACGCCGCGUGCGGGAGGAAGCUCUUCGGGGUGUAAACCGCUGUUGCCCGGAACGAAACUCCAGAUUCGUCUGGAUUGACGGUACCGGGUGAGGAAGCGCCGGCUAACCCUGUGCCAGCAGCCGCGGUAAUACAGAGGGCGCGAGCGUGUCGGA
rnacentral:rRNA from 1 species